UAGGGAAUCUUCGGCAAUGGGGGCAACCCUGACCGAGCAACGCCGCGUGAGUGAAGAAGGUUUUCGGAUCGUAAAGCUCUGUUGUAAGUCAAGAACGAGUGUGAGAGUGGAAAGUUCACACUGUGACGGUAGCUUACCAGAAAGGGACGGCUAACUACGUGCCAGCAGCCGCGGUAAUACGUAGGUCCCGAGCGUUGUCCGGAUUUAUUGGGCGUAAAGCGAGCGCAGGCGGUUUGAUAAGUCUGAAGUUAAAGGCUGUGGCUCAACCAUAGUUCGCUUUGGAAACUGUCAAACUUGAGUGCAGAAGGGGAGAGUGGAAUUCCAUGUGUAGCGGUGAAAUGCGUAGAUAUAUGGAGGAACACCGGUGGCGAAAGCGGCUCUCUGGUCUGUAACUGACGCUGAGGCUCGAAAGCGUGGGGAGCGAACAGGAUUAGAUACCCUGGUAGUCCACGCCGCNNCGAUGAGUGCUAGGUGUUGGAUCCUUUCCGGGAUUCAGUGCCGCAGCUAACGCAUUAAGCACUCCGCCUGGGGAGUACGACCGCAAGGUU
rnacentral:rRNA from 1 species